GCUCCUAAGCACUGGCUUCUGUUGGACCUGUCCAGGUGUCUGGUUAUUUCUACCUUUGUAAGUCUAGGAUGAAUUACUUUGGUUCACAUUUGUUUCCACUGUAAAUGUUUAUGUGCCUUUGGUGACUUAGAAUUCACAAGAAAAGACAGAGUGAUGCUUUGUUUGCAUUGGUUCAAUAGCUAAAGUUGAGUUGGCUGUUUGAAAUAUCAUUUUACUGGGUUACCUUCUCAUUCUUCAUGAACAAAAUGUUUUGGGUUUUUUCUUAACCACGCCUGCAAUCCCUUACAGUGAAGUCUGUGAUUUGCAUGUGAUUUGCAUGUAGGCCCAGGGAUUGCUGAAGGAUGCUGCUGCUACCUGGUAAGGAGGGCACACAGAGCAGCAGUGACAUGCCUGGGAGUUCUGGAGUGCACAGCCUUGAACCUGCAUCUCUGGCGAGAAACUGCAAUGGAAAUCACAAAUUUCUUGGGGACCAAGAUGCUUCUACACACUUCUUCAUGAUCCUGGGACAAUGGUGCCUCUGCAGGUGGAUUAAACUUGGCGGUGCUACAAAUAGCACAGUCUCUACUGGAGAGUCUGUGUUUCACACAGAGAAGGAGAGUGGAUGACAAGAUCUGUAACGAGCAGAGAGGAGCUCUGAGGCAGCCCAGACACCACAAUAAGCUAUGUCUCUAUGCUAUGAUGAAGACUGUAAUUAGUACUUCUGUGCACAAGAAGACACAUCCCAAGAGACCAGCAGGAGAACUUAUUUUCUGUGAUACACACAGACACAGACAUGACAAUGAAAUAUUUCAAGAUGCUCCAAAUAUUUGCUCCUAAAAAAGACUGAUGCCACAUUCCUGCAAUAUAAUAUCAUAUUCUGUAGGUGUUGUGGACAGAUUAUGCCAAUCAAACACUGGAGGCAAGAAUAUUUUUAUGUCAUUACUGCAAAGUCUAUCUCAUCCUAGAGAUAAUAGCAAGAACAAUUUUUCUUAAAAUCCUUAUAAAUGUACCAUUUUCUAGAUAGAGCUUGACUUCAUGCUGUCGUGAAAAAGGGAUUGGCUUCGAUAUUUUGAAAUGCUAUGCAUGGCAUAAACAGUGCAAAGUAUCCUUUCCUAUUUGUAAGAUACUAUUAUUAAACCUUGGAAGCUUUGAUUUCUACUUAAUCUUUUGCUUCAUGCCUUCACUUAUAGUGAAAAUCAUUAUCAAAUGCCAUUUUGAUGUGCUACCUCAUGGAAUGAAUUACUGAAGGCAACUGAACAGCAACAAACAGAAUGAAGGCUGGUGCGCUUGCAGACCUGUGUAACUUCACUGAUGCCAGUACUAUUAAAUUUAUCUAUGUUCAAGCUGAAUUGAACCCAGAUCUUUAUUUAGCUUGCUAGCAGGAAUUUAUAUUCUCAGAGUUUGUUCCAAUGUGAGCUGAAGUCAAUGAGUUCAAGGGGUUUUAGAUGAGGCUUCAGAUCUUG